CGGAAGGUAGCAUGUGUUCCACAAGUACGGCAUAAGUUUUACACGGAGCUACGGUGAAUAUUAUUUUAUACUGGCAGCCCUCCGAAGACGCAAAAGAAGUUGUGAGAAUCGAGAUAUCCCACUGGGUGGAUAAAAAACUGACCAUUCGUUGACUGGAAAACACCUUGAAUACGUCAAUCAAAACCCCCAUACGGACAUCCUGUGUUAAAACCACACAGAAGGCCUAUCCGGUUCCAGCUUCUGUUUGUCUUGGGGCAUUGUUUUAUUACCUUCCAAACUCUGCCGGGAAAAACUUAAGACAGCAGUUGCCAGGCAACAAGGACCUGACAGGAGCGGAGAGAGCGACUCGGAGCAAAAAAGGGAGGCACGGAGAGGAGGGCGGAGGUAGGGGUAGCACUCGGAGUGGAACGACAGCAGUAUCUCCACAGCUGGAGCUGCAGGUUAAGGAGCUGGUGAAGCAGCAACGCUUGCAUGUCCCCUUUUUGAGCUGCCAGCAGAGGCAGUGAGAAGGGGUAAAAUGAAUGUUUAAUCAGUUUAUUCAUGGUGCUAGAGUCUGUUUAUUAAAAGCAAGAAGUUUUAAACUACUAUUACUAGUGUAACUAAAUCUUGUCACACUGAUUUUAUUUCUUUAUUGAUUUACCGCUUUCUGUAUAAAGAAAAGUUUUGCAUUUUAAAACAUUUAAAAGAAAGGGAUCUGUGUUUUGUAGGCCUUUUAUUAGAUAGUAGAAAGGUUAUUGCAGAUUGCAAUCAACCACUCAGUCAUGUAUUCUUAUUUUUUAAGGCUGUGUGUUUACGGUGGUAAACAUGUUUUAUUACAGACUAUAGUACUGCCCAAUAAGAGUGUUGGACACUAGAGACAGGACCAAUCAGAGGUCCAGGCAGAGGCUACCAAUCCAGACUCGAUAGUCUUGU